rnacentral:rRNA from 1 species
AUUGAACGCUGGCGGCAGGCCUAACACAUGCAAGUCGAACGAGUGGCGGACGGGUGAGUAAUGUAUGGGAAACUGCCUGACGGAGGGGGAUAACUACUGGAAAACGUAGCUAAUACCGCAUACCAUGAGAUGUGCUCAGAUGGGAGUAGCUAGUUGGUGGGGUAACGGCUCACCAAGGCGACGAUACCUAGCUGGGCUGAGAGGAUGACCAGCCACACUGGAACUGAGACACGGUCCAGACUCCUACGGGAGGCAGCAGUGGGGAAUAGUGCACAAUGGGCGCAAGCCUGAUGCAGCCAUGCCGCGUGUAUGAAGAAGGCCUUCGGGUUGUAAAGUACUGUCAGCGGGGAGGCGUUACCCGAAGAAGAAGCACCGGCUAACUCCGUGCCAGCAGCCGCGGUAAUUC